AGUGAACGCUGGCGGUAGGCCUAACACAUGCAAGUCGAACGGCAGCACCGUAAGAGCUUGCUCUUACGGGUGGCGAGUGGCGGACGGGUGAGGAAUACAUCGGAAUCUACUUUUUCGUGGGGGAUAACGUAGGGAAACUUACGCUAAUACCGCAUACGACCUACGGGUGAAAGCAGGGGAUCUUCGGACCUUGCGCGAUUGAAUGAGCCGAUGUCGGAUUAGCUAGUUGGCGGGGUAAAGGCCAACCAAGGCGACGAUCCGUAGCUGGUCUGAGAGGAUGAUCCGCCACACUGGAUCUGAGACACGGUCCAGACUCCUACGGGAGGCAGCAGUGGGGAAUAUUGGACGAUGGGCGCGAGCCUGAUCCAGCCAUACCGCGUGGGUGAAGAAGGCCUUCGGGUUGUAAAGCCCUGUUGUUGGGAAAGAAGAGCAGCAGGUUAAUACGCCGCUGUUCUGACGGUACCCAAAGAAUAAGCACCGGCUAACUUCGUG
rnacentral:rRNA from 1 species